AGAGUUUGAUCCUGGCUCAGGAUGAACGCUGGCGGCGUGCCUAAUACAUGCAAGUCGAGCGAACGGACGAGAAGCUUGCUUCUCUGAUGUUAGCGGCGGACGGGUGAGUAACACGUGGAUAACCUACCUAUAAGACUGGGAUAACUUCGGGAAACCGGAGCUAAUACCGGAUAAUAUUUUGAACCGCAUGGUUCAAAAGUAAAAGACGGUCUUGCUGUCACUUAUAGAUGGAUCCGCGCUGCAUUAGCUAGUUGGUAAGGUAACGGCUUACCAAGGCAACGAUGCAUAGCCGACCUGAGAGGGUGAUCGGCCACACUGGAACUGAGACACGGUCCAGACUCCUACGGGAGGCAGCAGUAGGGAAUCUUCCGCAAUGGGCGAAAGCCUGACGGAGCAACGCCGCGUGAGUGAUGAAGGUCUUCGGAUCGUAAAACUCUGUUAUUAGGGAAGAACAUAUGUGUAAGUAACUGUGCACAUCUUGACGGUACCUAAUCAGAAAGCCACGGCUAACUACGUGCCAGCAGCCGCGGUAAUACGUAGGUGGCAAGCGUUAUCCGGAAUUAUUGGGCGUAAAGCGCGCGUAGGCGGUUUUUUAAGUCUGAUGUGAAAGCCCACGGCUCAACCGUGGAGGGUCAUUGGAAACUGGAAAACUUGAGUGCAGAAGAGGGAAGUGGAAUUCCAUGUGUAGCGGUGAAAUGCGCAGAGAUAUGGAGGAACACCAGUGGCGAAGGCGACUUUCUGGUCUGUAACUGACGCUGAUGUGCGAAAGCGUGGGGAUCAAACAGGAUUAGAUACCCUGGUAGUCCACGCCGUAAACGAUGAGUGCUAAGUGUUAGGGGGUUUCCGCCCCUUAGUGCUGCAGCUAACGCAUUAAGCACUCCGCCUGGGGAGUACGACCGCAAGGUUGAAACUCAAAGGAAUUGACGGGGACCCGCACAAGCGGUGGAGCAUGUGGUUUAAUUCGAAGCAACGCGAAGAACCUUACCAAAUCUUGACAUCCUUUGACAACUCUAGAGAUAGAGCCUUCCCCUUCGGGGGACAAAGUGACAGGUGGUGCAUGGUUGUCGUCAGCUCGUGUCGUGAGAUGUUGGGUUAAGUCCCGCAACGAGCGCAACCCUUAAGCUUAGUUGCCAUCAUUAAGUUGGGCACUCUAAGUUGACUGCCGGUGACAAACCGGAGGAAGGUGGGGAUGACGUCAAAUCAUCAUGCCCCUUAUGAUUUGGGCUACACACGUGCUACAAUGGACAAUACAAAGGGCAGCGAAACCGCGAGGUCAAGCAAAUCCCAUAAAGUUGUUCUCAGUUCGGAUUGUAGUCUGCAACUCGACUACAUGAAGCUGGAAUCGCUAGUAAUCGUAGAUCAGCAUGCUACGGUGAAUACGUUCCCGGGUCUUGUACACACCGCCCGUCACACCACGAGAGUUUGUAACACCCGAAGCCGGUGGAGUAACCUUUUAGGAGCUAGCCGUCGAAGGUGGGACAAAUGAUUGGGGUGAAGUCGUAACAAGGUAGCCGUAUCGGAAGGUGCGGCUGGAUCACCU
rnacentral:rRNA from 1 species